GCCAGCAUGGUGUAGUGGUUUGUGUAUUUGACUAUGACUCUGGAGACCAGGGUUAGAAUCCUUGUUUGGCC
rnacentral:tRNA from 1 species